AGUCGAGGGGUAACAGGGAAGCUUGCUUCCGCUGACGACCGGCGCACGGGUGCGUAACGCGUAUGCAACCUACCUCUUACAGGGGGAUAGCCCGAAGAAAUUCGGAUUAAUACCCCAUAGUAUUACAGAUUCGCAUGAUGAAGUAAUUAAAGAUUUAUCGGUAAGAGAUGGGCAUGCGUCUGAUUAGAUUGUUGGUGAGGUAACGGCUCACCAAGUCGACGAUCAGUAGGGGUUCUGAGAGGAAGAUCCCCCACACUGGCACUGAGAUACGGGCCAGACUCCUACGGGAGGCAGCAGUAGGGAAUAUUGGUCAAUGGAGGCAACUCUGAACCAGCCAUACCGCGUGUAGGAAGAAUGCCUUCUGGGUUGUAAACUACUUUUAUAUAGGAAGAAAAAAGCCAUGCGUGGUAAUAUGACGGUACUAUAUGAAUAAGCACCGGCUAGCUCCGUGCCAGCAGCCGCGGUAAUACGGAGGGUGCAAGCGUUGUCCGGAUUUAUUGGGUUUAAAGGGUGCGUAGGCGGUUUAUUAAGUCGGAGUUGAAAUCCCACAGCUUAACUGUGGAACUGGCUCCGAUACUGGUUAACUUGAAUAUGGUUGAGGUAGGCGGAAUUUAAGAUGUAGCGGUGAAAUGCAUAGAUAUCUUAAAGAACACCAAUUGCGUAGGCAGCUUACUGGACCACCACUGACGCUGAGGCACGAAAGCGUGGGUAGCGAACAGGAUUAGAUACCCUGG
rnacentral:rRNA from 1 species